AAGCUCGUAGUUGAAUUUCGGGGUUCUACCGUUGGUCGGGCUAACCAGUCUGUACUAGCGUGUAGAAUUCCUACCUUCUGGGGAACCAUCAUGUUAUUAAUUUAGCGUGGUGGGAAGCCAGGACCUUUACCUUGAAAAAAUUAGAGUGUUCAAAGCAGGCCUACGUCUGAAUACAUUAGCAUGGAAUAAUAAAAUAGGACGGUGGUCCUGUUUUGUUGGUUUCUGAAUCACCGUAAUGAUUAAUAGGGAUAGUUGGG
rnacentral:rRNA from 1 species